CGUUUCUCUUUCUGCCGUUCCGCUUCUCUCUCUCGCGCUCGUUCUCUCUCGCUCUGGUUCACUCUCGUUCUCUCUCUCUCUCUCUCUCUCUCUCUCUCUCUCUCUCUCUCUCUCUCUCUCUUGCGUGAUGUCGUAUUUCGUCUACAUUAACGGUCACCUCCAUGGAGCUUGCUGGCUGGUGCAGUUGACGAGGAGGAGGAUGAUAAUGACAUAAACAACAACAAUGGAGAUUGUGGAGGUUAAUCGUCUGCUCCGGCUCCGACUCUGGCUUCGGCUCCCACCAGCGACAGGGCAACGAUUGCAUGCCUGUCGAUGUUUGUGGCUUUGGUAUUGACAUACCUAAUUCACUGAAGAGAGAUUAUUUGAAUUUGGGUUGGAUUAUAUGUUCUGUGAUUUAUUCAUGAAAUUGGGGCAAAAUUUAUGGAUUUACAUACCAAUUAGUGUUCUGAUUUAGACAAUUUUUUGAUUGUGUUGUUGAGGAUUCUAUUCUGUUUGGUCACUGUAAAAAAUAUUGUUGUAAUAUUUAUAUUUAAUAUUAUUUUUUGUAUUUUUUUCUGAA